rnacentral:rRNA from 1 species
CCUGGCUCAGGAUGAACGCUAGCUACAGGCUUAACACAUGCAAGUCGAGGGGCAGCAUGGUCUUAGCUUGCUAAGGCCGAUGGCGACCGGCGCACGGGUGAGUAACACGUAUCCAACCUGCCGUCUACUCUUGGACAGCCUUCUGAAAGGAAGAUUAAUACAAGAUGGCAUCAUGAGUCCGCAUGUUCACAUGAUUAAAGGUAUUCCGGUAGACGAUGGGGAUGCGUUCCAUUAGAUAGUAGGCGGGGUAACGGCCCACCUAGUCUUCGAUGGAUAGGGGUUCUGAGAGGAAGGUCCCCCACAUUGGAACUGAGACACGGUCCAAACUCCUACGGGAGGCAGCAGUGAGGAAUAUUGGUCAAUGGGCGAGAGCCUGAACCAGCCAAGUAGCGUGAAGGAUGACUGCCCUAUGGGUUGUAAACUUCUUUUAUAAAGGAAUAAAGUCGGGUAUGCAUACCCGUUUGCAUGUACUUUAUGAAUAAGGAUCGGCUAACUCCGUGCCAGCAGCCGCGGUAAUACGGAGGAUCCGAGCGUUAUCCGGAUUUAUUGGGUUUAAAGGGAGCGUAGAUGGAUGUUUAAGUCAGUUGUGAAAGUUUGCGGCUCAACCGUAAAAUUGCAGUUGAUACUGGAUAUCUUGAGUGCAGUUGAGGCAGGCGGAAUUCGUGGUGUAGCGGUGAAAUGCUUAGAUAUCACGAGGAACUCCGAUUGCGAAGGCAGCCUGCUAAGCUGCAACUGACAUUGAGGCUCGAAAGUGUGGGUAUCAAACAGGAUUAGAUACCCUGGUAGUCCACACGGUAAACGGUGAAUACUCGCUGUUUGCGAUAUACUGCAAGCGGCCAAGCGAAAGCGUUAAGUAUUCCACCUGGGGAGUACGCCGGCAACGGUGAAACUCAAAGGAAUUGACGGGGGCCCGCACAAGCGGAGGAACAUGUGGUUUAAUUCGAUGAUACGCGAGGAACCUUACCCGGGCUUAAAUUGCAGAUGAAUUACGGUGAAAGCCGUAAGCCGCAAGGCAUCUGUGAAGGUGCUGCAUGGUUGUCGUCAGCUCGUGCCGUGAGGUGUCGGCUUAAGUGCCAUAACGAGCGCAACCCUUGUUGUCAGUUACUAACAGGUUCCGCUGAGGACUCUGACAAGACUGCCAUCGUAAGAUGUGAGGAAGGUGGGGAUGACGUCAAAUCAGCACGGCCCUUACGUCCGGGGCUACACACGUGUUACAAUGGGGGGUACAGAGGGCCGCUACCACGCGAGUGGAUGCCAAUCCCAAAAACCUCUCUCAGUUCGGACUGGAGUCUGCAACCCGACUCCACGAAGCUGGAUUCGCUAGUAAUCGCGCAUCAGCCACGGCGCGGUGAAUACGUUCCCGGGCCUUGUACACACCGCC